UUCAAAUUUCCAUAGCGGAGGAAAAGAAACUAACAAGGAUUCCCCUAGUAACGGCGAGUGAAGCGGGAUGAGCUCAAAUUUAAAAUCUGGCGGCCUCAGGUCGUCCGAGUUGUAGUCUAGAGAAUCGUUUUCCGCGUUGGCCUGUGUACAAGUCCCUUGGAACAGGGCGUCAUAGAGGGUGAGAAUCCCGUCCUUGACACAGAUUACCAAUGCUUUGUGAUGCGAUCUCGAAGAGUCGAGUUGUUUGGGAAUGCAGCUCAAAAUGGGUGGUAAAUUCCAUCUAAAGCUAAAUAUUGGCGAGAGACCGAUAGCGAACAAGUACCGUGAGGGAAAGAUGAAAAGCACUUUGGAAAGAGAGUUAAACAGUACGUGAAAUUGUUAAAAGGGAAACGAUUGAAGUCAGUCAUGCUUUCCGAGACUCAGCCGAUUCUGUCGGUGUACUUCUCGGUUGGCAGGCCAGCAUCAGUUUCGAUCUGUGGAAAAGGUUGGAGGGAACGUGGCAUCCUCGGAUGUGUUAUAGCCCUUCUUCGAAUACAUAGAGCGGGACUGAGGAACGCAGCGCGCCUUUUAUUAGGUUGGCCCUCGGGUACAUACGCGCUUAGGAUGCAGACUA
rnacentral:rRNA from 1 species